UGAGGAAUAUUGGACAAUGGGCGCAAGCCUGAUCCAGCCAUGCCGCGUGCAGGAAGAAGCACCUAUGGUGUGUAAACUGCUUUUGUACGGGAAGAAACACUCCUUCGUGAAGGAGCUUGACGGUACCGUAAGAAUAAGGAUCGGCUAACUCCGUGCCAGCAGCCGCGGUAAUACGGAGGAUGCAAGCGUUAUCCGGAAUCAUUGGGCUUAAAGGGUCCGUAGGCGGUUUAGUAAGUCAGUGGUGAAAGCCCAUCGCUCAACGAUGGAACAGCCAUUGAUACUGCUAGACUUGAAUUAUUAGGCAGUGGCUGGAAUAUGUAGUGUAGCAGUGAUAUGCUUAGUUGUUACAGGGAAUACCAAUUGCGAAGGCGGGUUACUACUGAUGGAUUGACGCUGAUGGACGAAAGCGUGGGGAGCGAACA
rnacentral:rRNA from 1 species